AUUGAACGCUGGCGGCAGGCCUAACACAUGCAAGUCGAGCGAGCGGCGGACGGGUGAGUAAUGUCUGGGAAACUGCCUGAUGGAGGGGGAUAACUACUGGAAACGGUAGCUAAUACCGCAUACCAUCAGAUGUGCCCAGAUGUGAUUAGCUUGUAGGUGGGGUAAUGGCUCACCUAGGCGACGAUCCCUAGCUGUUCUGAGAGGAUGACCAGCAACACUGGAACUGGGACACGGUCCAGACGGCUACGGGAGGAAGCAGUGGUGAAUAAUGCACAAUGGGCGCAAGCCUGAUGCAGCCAUGCCGCGUGUAUGAAGAAGGACUGCGGGUUGUAAAGUACUGUCAGCGGCGAGGCGUUACCCGAAGAAGAGGCACCGGCUAACUCCGUGCCAGCAGCCGCGG
rnacentral:rRNA from 1 species